rnacentral:lncRNA from 1 species
GUGAUUUCAUUUUGGUCUACUUUUGCCCACUCCGUGACUGUGAUGCCAAGAUGGUCCCUAACUAAGAAUCUGAGUGUGUUACGCCACUUAGGUAGGGCCUCUAGAGGAGCUAGGGGCUGUUCUUCUACGUGCUCCAUGUGGUCGGACCCUUGUGCUUGCUUAGUGUUAUGUGACACUUGUACCUUCUUUGUGUGGUCCGAAACUUUUUCUUGCACCGUGGGAUUAGACACCGGUGCUUUCUCAGUGUGGUCAGACCCUGACGCUUGGUUUGGGGUUGGAGAAGUCAUCGCGAUAAUCUAAAGUACACCAGUGCUUUAUUAAUAAGAAAUGCUAUAUAUUAUAUUAUGAACAAUAAAGAUAAAAGUAUAUACCAAAUGCUAUAUACAUUAGCCACAAUCCUAAAGCGUAAAGUCUAACCCAAGCAAAAACCCUAAACCUUAAAGCCUGAACCCUAAGUCACUUUUCAUAUACAUCAUAAAAAAUAUAAAAGAGAAAACCUAAACCCUAAACCCCCUAAACCCUAAACCCAUUAGCCUAAACCUUUAAUCCAUUAGCCUAAACCCUAAACUUAGCAUAUGCAUCAUAUCUAUAAAUAUAUAUGAAUAAUUGAGAAAAAAAUUAUAUUGCAUUUUAAAUUACUUAGUAAAUAAUAAUAAAAAUUUACACUCCAAUAAAGAUAAAAAAACCAUUCAUAUAAAAAAUAAAAAACUAUCUCCACCCUCACAAGCUGGCUAGGCCGGCUGGCCAGCCUAGCUCUCCCCAUAUCCACUAUACGGCCGCGGGUGGGCCGGCCCAGCUUGCCCAGUCAGCCCACCUCUCUCCCUCUUCGGCUGUCGCGAAUGCCCACCGUCGGCGAGCUGCGACCGCACUACACCCCACCCCGACGCUCCCCCGCGCCCAGCCGCCUCUAGCCGUGCCACCGCCGGUGAGCCGCGGCCGCACGCGCACUCCCCUGCCUCCCCGACCCUGCACAAGUCGGCCCCCGCGCGCAACCGCACCUGCCUCCGCGCGCAGCUACCAUCUCGACGCCGGUGAGCUUACCUCGACAGGAAGGGAGCGAAUGGAGACAAGACCUCCAUGGGAAGGG